AUGAGGUAGCUUUUAAGGAUCAUUUCUUAAGCAUGUGUCGCAGCAACGAUAUCCGACUCUGUUGAGCUGAUCAACAAUAUCACGAUGAUGUGAGACUGUAUUGAGUCCUGAGCAUGAAACAGGUUUUUCUCUACUAUUCACUCCUCUCUUUUUACGAAAACCACUGAGGAUCGUUCUUGAGAGGUUUAAUUACUUCUUACCGAAGAACUCAGUACUUUCUGAGUUAGA